CAAAGGGGCCAAUUUCUUCUCUUCAAAGGGGGCAGCCGAAUUUCCUCUUAAGUUUUCUCACAAAUCACCCAAGAAAGUGGCUAGAGUUAUAACCUUAUAAAUAGGAUAGGGUUAGCCUUUAAGUUGAACCAAUAGAAAGUUAAACGGGCUAAAAUUUAAACCAUCUAAGAGGGAAUACAAUUGGACCGGGCAGAGCCUAUGGACUUGGUUGUUAGAAUUAUUUCAUUCAUUGGCUGUGGCCUAUGAAAUACAUUAUCCAACGUUAACAUCAUAGCCCAAGAUUUAUUGGAUAUCAAAAAUCUAACAAAUCUCCAUCUUGAUGCCCAAUAAACCUGCAAGCAAUCAAAACACACAGUUAGUACUUGCAUAAUCAAGGUAACUAAUAAAAUUUGGUCACAGACCUUACCUCGUAUUUUCAACCUGAAACACAUAACAUACCUGCUCCAUAUACUCACCAGGGCUAUGGUCAAGAAUACCAAAGUAGAAGCAAAUAUUCACAGUAAUCAAUCAAGAGCAAAUAAUCAUACGAUGACGAUAUAACAUAGGAUAACACACAUAGAUCUUUUCAGAAAUAUGUUCACACAGAACCAAAGGUUAACACCAAGUCAGUUAACAGGCGCCAACACAUAUGCAACAGAUGCAUAAUAACCCCACGAAAAGAUCUCAUCACAUUUAUCCUAUCCCAUUAUAUGUUGCUCACACCUUGAGAACGCAUAUCUCUUCUCAUCUUUCACUUUGCUCACUCGACUGGUCACUCAUCCUAUGUCUGUCUAGUGAAUCAUAAUAGAUUCUAAGUCCACAGGAUAAUCCUCUAUCACCACAUCACUUCUCCCAACCUACGUGGAUAAUGAGUCUCCACUUAACGAAAGUGAUAGAAGUGUCUCUCUCACACUCCAUCUGAUUAGGAUCUCUUCACAGAUGAAGGAUUCUAGACAUUUAAUUACCUCACCACGCAUGAUCCAAAUGUUACACAACACAUCCCCAGUACAAACCACAAUGUCUUCCUUAGCAUCUAAACUCUACCUUACAAAAGACAUACAACACAUUGCUAAUACAUAUUAACCCACUAUACAUGCAAACAAUUACACCAAGUAUUCAUAUUGCCUCAAAUUCAUGCAAAUGCACAUAUCAAACACAUUGAAAUACAACAUAUAAUCAUGCAACAAGAAUUAGGCAAUCAUACAUAUGCAGAAAGGAUUACAUGUAGAUGCACGUGCAGUAACUUUGUUUACUCUCAAUAAAUCUCAAACUAGGGUCAUUACUCGACCCUAUAACCACAUUUGCCUCAAAACUCAUCUUACCAUUUUGCUUAUCAUUCUUCUUGAGACAGUCACUAAUAAAGUGUCCAGGCUUACCACAGCUAUAACACUGUCUACCACUAGACUUGUCUCGUCCCUUGCCAUUUUUCUUACCACCCUCAUCACUCGAGUUACUAUUUGAAUCACUAUUGUUUUGAGCUCUACCUAAAUUCAUUUGCUUAAACUUCAUCCUACUCCUCAUCAUAUGUAACUCACCACUCAUCUUAUCUUCUUUUUCAAUUUUAAUCUCCAUCUCCUUACUCUUAAGGUAGUCUAUGACAAUUUUGAGUAUUAAGGUGUCCCUACCAUAUUUAAUCGCAUUCUUAACCUCUCUAUAUGAAUCAGGCAUAGAAUUAAGCAAAACAAUGGUCUUGUACAUUUUAGACACUUUUUUUUUUUUU
rnacentral:lncRNA from 1 species